UACGUAGGGGGCAAGCGUUGUCCGGAUUUAUUGGGCGUAAAGAGCGUGUAGGCGGCCAAGCAGGUCCGCUGUGAAAACUCGAGGCUCAACCUCGAGACGUCGGUGGAAACCGUGUGGCUAGAGUCCGGAAGAGGAGAGUGGAAUUCCCGGUGUAGCGGUGAAAUGCGCAGAUAUCAGGAGGAACACCGGUGGCGAAGGCGGGUCUCUGGGCCGGUACCGACGCUGAGGAGCGAAAGCGUGGGGAGCGAACAGG
rnacentral:rRNA from 1 species